rnacentral:rRNA from 1 species
GUGAAAUUGUUGAAAGGGAAACGAUUGAAGUCAGUCGUGCUGGCGCGAAAUCAACCUUCUCGUCUCGAGAUCACAUGGCGUGGCGAGCCUCAAAACCGUCACGAAGCGUGAACUCUUGGUGAAAUGGAGCACUUUCGUGUCCGCUGUUAACAUCAAUUUCGAACGUCAUAAAAAGGCUGGAGGGAUGUGGCUCCUUCGGGAGUGUAUAACCUUUAGCGGAUGUGUGUCGGGAUGAGGAUGCAACGAUACCUUUAGGGCUGUCCACCUGGUUCUCUUGUAUCUGUGACGACAGCUUGUGACGUGUAGGAUCGCCUUGAACAGGCUAGAUGGAGCAAUUCGUAAGGUGUAGACGUAAUGGCUUUAAACGAC